AUUGAACGCUGGCGGCAGGCCUAACACAUGCAAGUCGAACGAGUGGCGGACGGGUGAGUAAUGUCUGGGCAACUGCCUGAUGGAGGGGGAUAAAUACUGGAAACGGUAGCUACUACCGCUUACCAUCGUUUGUGCCCAGAUGGGCUUAGCUAGCAGGUGGGGUAAAGGCUCAGCUAGGCGACGAUCCCUAGCUGGUCUGAGAGGCUGACCAGCCACACUGGAACGGAGACACGGUACAGACUCCUGCGGGAGGCAGCAGUGGGGAAUAUUGCACAAUGGGCGCAAGCCUGAAGCAGCCAUGCCGCGGGUAUGAAGAAGGCCUUCGGGUUAUAAAGUACGUUCAGCGGGGAGGCGUUACCCGCAGAAGAAGCACCGGCUAACUCCGGGCAAGCAGCGGCGGUAUUC
rnacentral:rRNA from 1 species